UACGGAAGGGGCAAGCGUUGUUCGGAAUCAUUGGGCGUAAAGGGCGCGUAGGUGGUUCUGUAUGUCUACCGUGAAAGCAUACAGCUCAACUGUAUUUUGUCGGUAGAAACUGCAGGACUUGAGGCUGGGAGGGGCUGGUGGAAUUCCCUGUGUAGCGGUGAAAUGCGUAGAGAUGGGGGGAGAACACUCGUGGCGAAGGCGGCCAGCUAGACCAGUUCUGACACUGAGGCGCGACAGCGUGGGGGAGCGAACAGG
rnacentral:rRNA from 1 species